UUCCGGUUGAUCCUGCCGGACCUGACUGCUAUCGGAUUGAUACUAAGCCAUGCGAGUCAUUGUAGCAAUACAAGGCAGACGGCUCAGUAACGCGUAGUCAACCUACCCUAUGGACGGGAAUAACCUCGGGAAACUGAGUAUAAUGCCCGAUAGAACAUUAUACCUGGAAUGGUUUAUGUUCCAAAUGAUUUAUCGCCGUAGGAUGGGACUGCGGCCUAUCAGUUUGUUGGUGAGGUAAUGGCCCACCAAGACUAUUACAGGUACGGGCUCUGAGAGGAGUGGCCCGGAGAUGGGUACUGAGACACGGACCCAGGCCCUAUGGGGCGCAGCAGGCGAGAAAACUUUGCAAUGUGCGAAAGCACGACAAGGUUAAUCCGAGUGGUUUCUGCUAAAGGAACCUUUUGUUAGUCCUAGAAACACUAACGAAUAAGGGGUGGGCAAGUUCUGGUGUCAGCCGCCGCGGUAAAACCAGCACCUCAAGUGGUCAGGAUGAUUAUUGGGCCUAAAGCAUCCGUAGCCGGCUCUGUUAGUUUUCGGUUAAAUCUGUACGCUUAACGUACAGGCUGCCGGGAAUACUGCAGAACUAGGGAGUGGGAGAGGUAGACGGUACUCGGGAGGAAGUGGUAAAAUGCUUUGAUCUCUCGAUGACCACCUGUGGCGAAGGCGGUCUACCAGAACACGUCCGACGGUGAGGGAUGAAAGCUGGGGGGAGCAAACCGGAUUAGAUACCCGGGUAGUCCCAGCUGUAAACUAUGCAAACUCAGUGAUGCAUUGGCUUGUGGCCAAUGCAGUGUUGCAGGGAAGCCGUUAAGUUUGCCGCCUGGGAAGUACGUACGCAAGUAUGAAACUUAAA
rnacentral:rRNA from 1 species